rnacentral:rRNA from 1 species
UUGACCUCGGAUCAGGUAGGGAUACCCGCUGAACUUAAGCAUAUCAAUAAGCGGAGGAAAAGAAACCAACAGGGAUUGCCUCAGUAACGGCGAGUGAAGCGGCAAGAGCUCAAAUUUGAAAGCUGGCCCCCUCGGGGUCCGCGUUGUAAUUUGCAGAGGAUGCUUCGGGUGCAGCCCCCGUCUAAGUGCCCUGGAACGGGCCGUCAUAGAGGGUGAGAAUCCCGUCUGGGACGGGGUGUCUGCGUCCGUGUGAAGCUCCUUCGACGAGUCGAGUUGUUUGGGAAUGCAGCUCUAAAUGGGUGGUAAAUUUCAUCUAAAGCUAAAUACUGGCCGGAGACCGAUAGCGCACAAGUAGAGUGAUCGAAAGAUGAAAAGCACUUUGAAAAGAGAGUUAAACAGCACGUGAAAUUGUUGAAAGGGAAGCGUUUGCGACCAGACUCGCCCGCGGGGUUCAGCCGGCAUUCGUGCCGGUGUACUUCCCCGUGGGCGGGCCAGCGUCGGUUUGGGCGGCCGGUCAAAGGCCCUCGGAAUGUAUCACCUCUCGGGGUGUCUUAUAGCCGAGGGUGCAAUGCGGCCUGCCCGGACCGAGGAACGCGCUUCGGCUCGGACGCUGGCGUAAUGGUCGUAAAUGACCCGUCUUGAAACACGGACCAAGGAGUCUAACAUCUACGCGAGUGUUCGGGUGUCAAACCCGUACGCGCAGUGAAAGCGAACGGAGGUGGGAGCCCCCCCGUGGGGCGCACCAUCGACCGAUCCUGAUGUCUUCGGAUGGAUUUGAGUACGAGCGUAGCUGUGGGGACCCGAAAGAUGGUGAACUAUGCCUGAAUAGGGCGAAGCCAGAGGAAACUCUGGUGGAGGCUCGCAGCGGUUCUGACGUGCAAAUCGAUCGUCAAAUUUGGGUAUAGGGGCGAAAGACUAAUCGAACCAUCUAGUAGCUGGUUCCUGC